rnacentral:lncRNA from 1 species
GCGCACGCGGGAACUGGGAUCUCAACCCCAGGGCUAGGUGCCUCCUCCCGCUGCUUUCCGCCAGCUGCGGGGUGUGAGAUUAAUCCCCGCCGAUUAGCGCCAGGUGUACUAAGCGCUGGAUGGUUCCCUGACCAGAUGAAACAUCAGCCGAUGUUCUAAUGCCGGUCCCCUGGGCGCUGUCCCCGAGAGGGAAAACCUGUUUUCUGACCCCGGCUCUAGUCGGCCUCUGGAGGUCUGCAGCUGGGUUAUUUUACCUUUGAAACGGACGACACCUGCCCCGUGCACCCCAGCGGCUCCUCCACACGGAGAGAUGGUGUCAGUCAAAGGCCGUCUAGAUGACGAGUUUAUGAAAUUGUUCCUGGCCCGUGCCGGGCACGACCUUGCAGAGAGCCCAGAAGAUGAAACCCCAGCCCUGCCAGGAGCUCACCUGCUAAUUAGGAGGACAACGAAUCACCUCACCUCCCUAGACUUUGCUUCUCCUUUAUUCAGUGAGGGAUUGGACUAGCUGGUCCUUGAGGACUUUUCAGAAAGUCUGGUUCUGGGAGAUGACCAAUGGGAUCAUCUUAUGCUAUGAGCUUUCCUGGAAUGACAGGUAAUGGAGAGUGAGGAGAUUUUACCUGAUAUGGUCCUGUUUGCACCAUCAGCCAGCAACCUUUCUGGGAAGCGUGCUUAUUAUGUACCAACAUAAAAGCUUGAAUAUAAGUGAAUUCACAGCUGGAGUCACCUCAGCAGUGGCAUCUGGGGUGCCACUGCUGGCAUCAGGGGAGUUCCCACAAGGGAGUACCCCAAGCCAUCCCAAGAUGGGACCAGUUGGAAUCCCAAAGAAAGAAGCACUAGACGCCAGGGUGAUCAGAUCAAAGCAUUUAUUAUGAGAACUUAGGUAGAAACUGGGUUUCACCAUUUCCUCCAGAUAGGCAGUUAGGGAAAGAGGUGCUCUACCUAGUGAGGUCUGCAGCAUGAGGAUCAGGGAAUGGAGUUGGUGAGAGAUUAAGGCAUUUGGCUCAGGGCCUGGCCAGUUCCUCUCAGUGUUUGGGGCAACAACCUAAACACCUUUGUAGGUGCCUGGGAGUGUUCAAAGCGUAACCUUGGGUUCCAGCCUGCCGGGCAAAUUGUGCAGCUGAUGGGGUCACAGAACAGUUGAGGCACGCUCUGUUUCUUGGUUAGGACAGAAAAAGGGAAAACGGAGUACCCUUCAACUACUAUGCGGUAGGGGGGACAAAGUUUCAGAAUGAUUUUAAAAACUAAAUUAGAAUGAACUUCAGUUAUUCCAACAAUAGCAUAACUUGUUCUAUGGCAAUCUGACGUGCUUUCUUACAUGACGGGGGCUAUAGUCAGCAGCACUCCACUGUAUGUAUCCCACAGCCCACCUUCCUAUGCUCUCAUCCGUAAUCCAAAUAUACCCACGAGAGUGUGGCAACCCUGUGAAUUUCACCCAACACGUGUGGAGAUAGAAAAGGGAAUUGAAAACCAAACCCGAUGCUGCUCUGCCACCCUACUCUCUUCUUGUGUCAGUGAAACCUUUCCUGAAAACUCAAGGAGAUGCUUCCAGAACUGUUCUGUCACUUGGGCUUACCCCUAGUAUAGAUACUGACAGCCAACAGUUUCCUAGGGAGAUAAGAGACAAGAAGCCUAAGGUAUCUUCCAAGAUCAAAUCUACCUCCUUAGUCCUAAUCCAAAGUUGUCCAUCCCAUUAAACCAAAGGUGGGAGAAUCUACUAUGGAGUGGCCUCACUGACAUCCAGACAGACAACUGGAAUAAGCUUUAGCCCCCGGUUCUAAAUAUUCACAGUGACUCACAAGUGGUUCGUAGAUAGACCCAACUUCUUCAGGUGGACUUUGGUGCUUGUGCCUCCGUUGACCUUGUUAACCAAAAAGUGACUGCGACAUGUUUCAAUCGAUUACAGGUUUAUUUAGCCAAAGUUGAGGACACGCUGGGUCCCUGCACUGCCUUCUUCUCUGUCGGUCUCCUGAAAGCCUCUGCUUAAGGAGGUCUCCGUGGCCAUCUUUAGCAUCUCAGAGUGAAUUAAAUCCCCCUUUCUAAGGGCAUUUUCCUGUGAAGCUUUAUUCUCUGUGACAUAAGGGGAGAGGGAUUUUUAGAGAACCUGGGGUGGCGGGGGCUUUAGAGGAGAGGGGGGAUUCUCAGGGGAUUUCCCUCUCCCCAGAGAUACAUCUCUCCAUGAAACAAACAAACAGAAAGCACGCAAUACAGUGCACAGCACACAGUCAGUGCUCAUGAAGUGUUGGUUCCCCGUCUGCCUACUGCAGUUGGUACAAACAACACUCAGGGUGCCAAGCUUCAGUUUGGUGAAGAAAAGCAUAGCCCACAUUCCAGUUCCCAGGCCUCGUCCUGAAGGGUAAGGGCAGCUCAGGCCCUGGCAUUGCUUGUCCUGAGGACAGGCCAGCAUGUCCUGUGCCUGGUGGUCUCCAGAAAUGUUGUUGCCUGCCUGCUGCCACUCUGCAUCUCAAGCUUAUCCCCCCAUGCCUUGCCAAAGCCCACUCCAUCUCCCUCCCCUCCCAAUCCACCUGGAGCUCCCACCUGUCAUCUUUCCUUCCCACCGUGGGGCAGGUGGCGAUCUGCAGGCCUCCCUGAGAGAGAACUGCCCCUACCCUGCCUCAAAGCCAGGGGCACUGAUCCAGCUCUCAGCUCCAAGAAGAUGGACUGGGAUCUUCCCUUAAUGCCUUCUGGGGUCUGAGGAUAAAGAUGGAGAGAGGCACUGAGCUGAGCACAAACAGGAAAAGGAAGAGCUCAUGGCUCAGAGCUGAAGAAGACAGGACCCAGUGAGCAGAGGACUGUGUCCCCAUAGGGAAAGACAUGUUCUGGUACAGGCAGGUCUGGAGUUCAGGAAGGAUUCAGGCUCAGUAGGGACUCCGGCUCACUGCCCUCUGCUUGGGAGAGCAAACCCUCCUAGGUGAGGUUUCCUUUCUGUGCCUUUACUGCAGGGAGCUUGUGUCAGAAUCAAGGGCACCAUCAAAAUAGGAUGCCACAGACAUCUCAGCUGUGCCAAACUAAUGCCCAAAGGCUCAGCUAUUGCAGGUAGGGGUGGGAGGGCAGGCCCUCACAGGUAGGCCUCCUCACAGGCCCACCCUGCCCUUUAUGGCACAGCCCAGGACCCUUAGGUCAAAGCUGACUUUUCCCAGUCUCAAAGCGCCGUCUUAUCUGUUGCUUUAUUUGUAACUCACAACAGGCCUCUGAGUCAGGCAGGGCAUAUGUCACUCCUAUUUCAUAGAAAGAGAAACUGAGGCAUGGGGUGGGCUAAGUGACUUGGGCCAGAGGGUAAGUGAAUUGGAGUCAGGACUCAGAUCUCCUUGGAUCCACACCAGACAUCCUCCCACAUGGAACCCUCUCCCUAAUCUUAACACUUCCAUGGCGUCAUGGCUUCAUCAGCCAUCACAAGAAAAUGAGGCCACAGAAAUUGCAUGCAUGUUCAUGUGUGUGUGUGCCUGUGUGUGUGUACACAAGUUCAUGUGUUUGUGCACGUGUGCAUAUGUGCAUGCGUGAUGCCUUACUUGCUGAGGGAAGAGGAGGAGGGUUGGCAGCUGCUGAUGAUUUUCUCUAUCUUGAAUGUUGUAAGUGCUUUUCCCAGGAGAGCCAGAUAGCCAUGGUGUGUCAGGAGAGGUCUCAGAAUGAGACUUAUGAAGUGAAGAUGAACAAUGACACAGAGGCCUGCAGUGAGCCCAGUCUGCUCUCCACAGAGAUGUGAGCUCUGCUGUCCUCUGCCCAGGAUGGCCUGGGUGUGGAGAUGGGUCUGGGGAGGCAGGGGCAGGUCCUCAAGAUCCCUCCUCUGGGCAUGAUUUGUAGGAGGAGGGGAGAUCACAGAGAAAAAACCUGCACAGCCUCUGUCAUCUUCUUAGUGGAAUGGGGGCCCCCAUCUCUCUUUUUCACACACACACACACGCGCACACGCACACACACACACAGCCCUUUUUAGUUUGGCCUUUCCUGACUGGGAAAACAUCUAAACAUGGUUUCUUAAACUUUUUAGGCUGUAACCAACAGACAUAAAUGUAUUUUCUGGUGACACUUAGUGCACAAAUACAUAUAUUGACAAACAAGUGUUUCGUGACACUACUGUAAAAUAAAGCUGCCCAGAAGAGGGCACUGGUGGCAAAUCUAGGCCUGAGAUUAUUUUGACCUUGCUGGAAUUUUUUUAAUAUUUUAGUUGCAUAUCUAGAUGCCUUAGAAGGUUGUGGCAUCCAUUUGGCUUUUAAAUGCCAGCUAUGAGAGAGGAGGUGGCUGCAGCACUGGCUAAAGGGCAGAAGGAAAAAGGGAAAAUUCUCCUCCAAGGGAGCAGACCAAUGUUGCUUAGACCCUAGCUCUGAUCACCCUUCUCUCAAAACUCUGCAUCCAAACCUCAUCCUCAGGUUGAUCUCUUCUACCCUUGACUGCCUGUUCCCAGAUGUACUGGGUUGAAAAAGUUCAUGUCCACUCAGAACCCGGAAUGUGACCUUGUUUGAAAAUAGGGUCUUUGCAGAUGUUACCAAGGUAAGGGGAGCUCAGUGGAUUAGAGUGGGCCCUACCUAGUCCAGUGAUUGCUGGUUUUAUUAAGAAGAGAACACACACACAGACACACAUGCACCAAACACACACACACACACAUAUACACAAGAAUGUGCCCUGUGAAAAUGCAGGCAGAGCUUAGAGUGGCCUGGAUCUGUAUGUUGCUUCAGUUCUGGGAGCUCCCAUGAGCCAGCAGAGAGACUGCAGGGUCUUCCUGAACAGUUCCUGAAGAGGAAAGAGAGACUCAGAGGAUUGCCCCGAUAUCGCCCUUCCCUCCUCCUAAACUCUGCUGGGCUCUCCCACUCCCCCAGGAAGACUUCCCUGCUAACUUCUGCCCUGCAAGUUGACCCUGAGAUUUUCAAGUGCCACCUGCCCCUGUGAACUUGAAUGGAUUGCGCUGUUCUUUGCACAAGAACAGAAACGUCUGCCUGGAGUGCAGCUUGUCCUGGUGGCUGGGACUUUCCUGACACACAGCUCCCCUUAUCUGUUGUGGAGCGGUCUCACUGACAUCUGAGCAAGCAACUGGAAGAAGCUUCAGCCCCAGUUCUAAAGGUUCACAGUGACUGACAGCUGGGGUUGAGACAGACCCGCCUUCUGUAGGUGGACUUGGUGAUGGCCUCGGUUGUCCUUUUAUAGACAUUACCUAUUGUGAGGGGCACGACUUUCACCCUCCUGCCCCACCAGUGUGGCAGUGCAUUUUUUAUUCUUUACAUUUUUUAUUCAUAUUAUUUCUUGUUCAAUUGAAGAUGUACUUCUUCCUGAGUGUGCCUGUGAAAGGCUUUCUGAAAGAAGCUGCUUAGGUGACUCAGCCUGGAAGCUGAGGCAGGUUGCAAGGGGGCAUCUUCCUGAGCCCUCAGUAUGUCAUCCAUGAGGGACUGGAUGGGCUCCAGUGACUCAUUCUUCACUCCUUCCAGAGCUGAAACCAGAAUGAGGCCAACUCAGACUCUGGACCCUAAGCACCGCCUCCCUAACCCCCUUCUUCCCACCCCAUGCCAGGUCAGCAUUGCACAGCUCUGCUUAGAAUCAUGUUUCCACUAUAAAAGCAAUACUUGUUUCACUGUAGGAAAUACUUAAUACACAAUUUUUUUUAAGGAAAAGAAGAAAAAUCACUCACCCCAGAGAUAACACUGCUAAUAUUUGGUAGCUGUCCUUGCAGUCUUUUUUUAAAACAGCAACCAAAAAAACAAACAAACAAACAACAACAAAAAACAACCGAAUGUUGAUAGAUUUUUUUUUCACAAAAUAGGACUAGUAAUUUUUUUCAUUCCAUAAUAUAUUCCUCUAUACAGCAUAACAGGCAAUCACAUGAUUCUACCAUAACUUUUUUAAAAAAAAAAAAACAGGGCCUCAACCAGUCACCCAGGCUAAAGUAUAAUGGCGUGAUCAUAUCUCACUGCAGCCUCAACCUUCUGGGCUCAGGUGAUCCUCCUACCUCAGCCUCCUGAGUCAUUGGGACUAUAGGUGUGAGCCACCACAUCUGACUAAUUCUAUCAUAAUUUUUUUGGUGAAUACCCUAUUUCUGAAUAAUUAGAUUCUUUGCAAUCUUUCAGUGUUAUAAAAAGUAAUCAUAAAUUCAUUCAGCAACUAUAUAUUGAGGACUUACUAUUACCAGGCACUGCUAGGGGCUGGGGAUCCAGGGGAGGACAAGAAAAACAGAUUCCCACCCUUGAGAAGUUAGCAUUCUGGUGGGGGAAAGACAAAUCAGCAGUUAAAUGCAAAUUAAGUAAAAGGGAGGAAGCUGAGGGGAGUUCUGAGACCAAAUGACGGGGGAGGAGCCCUUAGGCCCAUCAGGGGAUGUUUCUCUGAGAAGGUGAUGCUCCAGCUCAGACCCGAAGUUGAAAGCCAGCCUACGAACACACAGGGCAAGGGCAGAAGACUUCCACGUGGUGUGUGUGGGGGGUCUCUUUGUGUCAUAGAAAGUACCAGUGUGACUGCAGUUCCCAGAGGGGCAGGAAGUGGUGUAGGCUAAGGGUGAGAGGCCUCAGAGGUCAGGACAUUCUGAGUCGGGUGAGUGAGAAUAUGGGAGCAGACUGAGACCCUAAGAGCAGUAGGGAGCUGCUGAGGGGUUUAAAGCAAGGAGUGGCAUGUUCCAGCAUGCAUGUUCUAAAGAGAAUCUGGCUGCUAAGAGCAGAAUCGUAUAGAGAAGAGGAAGAGGGUGUUGGGAGGCUGUUAAAGUGGUCCCGUUAGGGAAUCAUGAGGGUGUAGAGUAGGGUGGGAACAAAAGAAAUGGAGACAGGAAAUUCCUUAGCAUGAAAAGGAUAAAGACGAGAAAGAAUCUUUGUUCAACAAAACUUGUUCAUUUUAGGCCUUCAAACCCAUCAAUGUCUACAGCAUAAUGUUCGUUUCAUUCACUUAGAACAGAACACAAGAACGGGGCUGAAGCUCUAACAGAAAAGACAUAAGACCCUUGAGAAAGCAUUACUUGAACACAAGGUUUCUGGGACAUUAAACAUGGGUAUAAGUGCUGCUAUAGUACCUUUCUGGGGAAGACUUCCUCCUGUCUCGGGGACUUAGGCAUCAUCAAAGGCAGGGUGGGAUGAAGAAAGUAAGGUGAAUGCUCUGGUAGACUGAGAAGUCUAGGAUAUACAGGGGGACUUCAGGUGUCAAAACAAGAGGAGAAGGCUUCAGAAGCACACAAUGUCAGGGUCAGAAUUGAAGCCAGGUUGCAGCCCAAAGGGGACAGACAGCCCUGCCAGUUACUCGUGCUUCAGAGGUGGCACGGCUGCUCUCGGAGAAGCAACUGACUAUUUCAGUUUUCCCUGACUACAGCUAUAAGGACGCUCCCUACCUGCCACCCUCCAUAUCAUCCCCCGCCCGCACCUAGACACCCGAAUCAAGGCAAUGAAAUUGUCUUGUGGGACAUCUAUGUGCCCAGCAAAGCUCAGCACAUUAUGUGCAUUUUUAUUCAAUAAUGACAACGAUGUUCAAGAUCAGCGCUGUUACUCUCAUGACACAGAUGAAGAAAGGCCUAGAGAUGAAGUCACGUGCCCAAGUCUGCAGGGUCCUGACUCAUAGAGCUGGUAUGGAAACUGAUCUGGCUGGUUCUGGAGCCCCUGCUUUUCCAUUUCACCACUGACUAGGAGGAGAGAGAGGACCCUGAAAUAUCGUUUAGUUCAAUACUUGACUCUCUAGACAAAGAACUGGGAAUGACACAUAUGGGAAAUAAGGAAUUCUCCAUCUGCAGAGGUCUGCUAGGCAUUUUCUCUGAGGAGUCAAUCAUUCACCGUUCUCUCAAAAGCAGCUUAUGCAAAAUAUGAUCUCUUAGCAGCCACAGUAUUCAAUACCCUGAUUAGGUUCAAAUCAGAAGGCAAACACCUCAAGGACAAGAGUUUGCAACAAAAAAGGCAACAACAGCACCCUGGACACUCAUGUCAGGACAUUCCAAUGUGCAUACGCCUCCUUAAGCACAGAGGGAUGCUGAAGAUGAUCUACCAAAGCAAACAUUCUUUCUGUUUUGUCUCCACAUCAAAGGAAGGAAAUUGUUACAUGGAAAACAGGAACAAGUAAUUUAUAACCUAUUUCUGCUUGGUCCUAGAAUGGACUGACUAUCCUCACACCCUAUCACAAGCACUGUUCACCCCUCUCUUCCUUCUUAGAGAAGUUAAAAACUGUGCUUCAGUGAGCUCCCAUCCCACUCAAAGUAAAACCCUCAAUCUUGACUGUGCCUAGAAGACCCAAGAGGAUUCUGGCCCCACUACUCUUCUCUCAUCUCAUCUCCUGCUCUUCCUUCUGCUCCCUCCAUGAUCAUCAUACUGGCUUCUUGAUCCUUGAACAUGCCAAGGACUCUUCCCUUAGAGAGCCAUAGAGCUCCCUUUCUCCCUUCCUUCAAGGUGUCAAAGAAAAUACUGUUUCAGCACCCUCCAAGUUUAUUACACCCAGAAGGAUAUUAAGACCCAAGACUGAGUCGCACCACCGGUUUCCAAUUCUGCUUCUCAGAUUAAAGGAGAACUCUCUUCCCCAUUGUUCCUCUUCUGUGAAUGAGUAGGAGAGACCAGAGACCAGGCCUUGCCCACUACCGAACCCAGAUCUUUGUUAUAGGUUAACUGACUCCUUUAUUGUCGUGUACCUUGCUAAGACCAGAUGACACCCGAGAUGCCAAGACUGUUAAAUCUUCAGUGAGGAAUGUUAAAUCUACCUUUCCACAAAGAAAAAGACCACCUGGACUAAUUAGAUCAUUUAAAUGAUGCAUUAAACCUUACACAGAAAGAUGUUGAAAUUCUGCUAGGCUUUCCCAAGCUUCCUCUGUAUAAAGGAUCCCAAACUUCACUUUGGAAUACAGACUUCCAUUCUGUGGAAUCUGGGCUUCCCACACAGGCCUGUCCUCAACGUUUGUGCCUAAAUCAACUCUAUUUAAGGUAAAUUCUGACCUUCUUGCGUCCUUUAGUUUAACAGGGGUCUCUGGUGAAGUGCCUCCUUAUUGGAGAGGACAUUUCUGUCACCUCACCCUCAUACACUGCUCAGCCCCUCCCCUUGCUUUAUUUUCUCCAUGGUGCUUCCCUGACAUGUAUGCCCUUGUUGAGGGCUUGCUUCCUCUCCUUGACUAGAAUGUAAGUUGCAUGAAGCCAGGGACAUCAGCUUAAUUCAGUGCAGCAUCCCCAGGGCUUAGAGAAUCACCUGGCACACAGGAGGUUUUCAAUAAUUAAGAAACAAAUUUGUGUAAACAGCAAGGGUGGGAGUUGGCAGAAGUGCAUUCUGUAUAAAACACAGGUAUUUGUGUUUGGCUGUUGGUGCUAAGGAAGGCUGUGAAAGGUGAGUUCAAGUUUGCUUCUGAUAUACAUUGGAAAUAUCAACUCCUCUUUCUCCGUAGCCACAACUCCCACUCCCUACCUCUUUUCUUUCUCAGGACUUUGGGAAGAUUCAAGAACAAUGUAGGGAACACGGGCUGUGGGAAGAGCCCUGAAUUGGAAUUCUACUGAUUCUCCCAGUCAUUCUCUAUGUGACCUUGGACAAAUGGCUUAGCCUCUGUAAUGGGUAGGGUUGGAUGUCAGGAUGGGUAAAUGAGAGUGAGCUGGCAAUCUCUGGUGUCUGGAUGAAUUGCUCAGGGCCUCUCUAUUCUACACAAUCUUGGGAUCUCUUUUAUCUUAGAAAUUUGUGCCUAGCUUGCACUUUACUCUAUAAUUUGCCCACUACAAUUUUUAAAAAUGUUUCAAUUUUAAAAUAAUAUGAUUUUAGAAAUAUGCACCAAAAUAGUUAUAGAUGAAACAAUAAGAAGUCUGGGAUCUGAUUCACAAUAAUCCUGGCAGGGAGACAGUGUAAGUAAGGAGACAGAAAAACACGGGUGGCGUGAGUUGCUGUGGCUGGGGAAUGGGCACAUGGGAGUUUGUGAUACCAUUCUCUAUACUUCUGUAGAGCACUGAAAACACAACUGAAAAUCUUUGCAGCCAUAAAAUAAAAAAACAAGAUCAUGUAUUUUUCAGGGACAUGGAUGGAACUAGUGUCGAUUAUAUUUAGCAAACUAACACAGGAACAGAAAACCAAAUACUGCUUGAUCUCACUUAUAAGUGGGAGCUAAAUAAUGAGAACACAUGGACACAUAGAGGGGAACAACACACACUGGGGCCUAUCAAGUGGUGGAGGGUGGAAGGAGAAAGAGGACCAGGAAGAAUAACUAUUGAGUAGUAGGCUUAGUACCUGGGUGAUGAAAUAAUCUGUACAACCAACCCCCAUGACACAUGUUCACCUAGAUAACAAGCUUACACAUGCACCAAUGAACUUAAAAUAAAAGUGAAUAAAUAAACGAAAAAAAAGGAAAAUCUUAAACCACCUAGAGAAAAAAGAUCACCUACAAAGGAACAAAAAUUAGAAUGACCCCAGGCUUCUUCACACCGACAAAGAAAGCCAGAAAACUAUACUAUAUAAUAUCUUCAAAGUGCCAAGGGAAAACAAUUGUCACUCUAGAAUUGAGUCAUCAGUACAGUGGUCUUUCAAGAAUGACAGUAAAUAACAUUUCAAACAAAAACUAAGGGAGCUCACUUAAGAGCACUAAAGAAACUUUUAAAAGCUGACUCUGCAAUGAAGAGAAGUGGAUGGGCCUCAAAGGAAGGUCAGACAUGCAAAAGAAAUGUAAGAAUGUAUGUAAAUCUAAACAGUUUGUAUAAAAUGAUGGCAGUCAUAGCCUCUGAUAAUGGUUUGGCUGUGUCCCCACCCAAAAUCUCAUCUUGAAUUGUAAUCCCCCUAAUGCCAGGUGUCAAGGGAGAGAUCAGGUGGAGGUAAUUGGAUCAUGGGGGUGGUUUCCUCCAUGCCGUCCUCAUGAUAGUGAGUUCUCACGAGGUCUCAAGGUUUUAUAAGGGAGAUUUCCCUGCUCUUGCUAGCAAUUCUUCCACCUGCUGCCUUGCGAAGAAGGCGCCUUGCUUCCUCUUCACCUUCCAUCAUGAUUGUAAGUUUCCUGCCUCCCCAGCCAUGCAGAACUGUGAGUCAAUUAAACCUCUUUCCUGAAUAAAUUACCCAGUCUCUUCAUAGCCGUGUGAGAACGAACUAAUACAGCCUCUAAUUUCUGGGCUAGAUAGAACUAAAAUAAUGGCCAUCAAAAGCCUGUAAUUGGGAAGGACAGUGAUUGGAAUGAGUGUCAAGACAGGACAGAAGGUUAUAAUGUGGUUUUACUUCACACUCUGUUAAGUUUAGAAUGCAUGAUAAAAGUCUACUUUUUGGUACCUAGCCCGGAGAACCCUUCACAAUUGUGUAUAAGGAGGCAUAUUUAAAAACGUUCUGGGGACAGUGGGAGGAACAGCAUCAGGAAAAAUAACUAAUGCAUGCUGGGCUUAAUACCUAGAUGAUGGGUUGAUAGGUGCAGCAAACCACCAUGGCACACAUUUACCUAUUUAACAAACUUACACAUCCUGCACAUGCGCCCCAGAAUUUAAUAUAACAAUAAAAAAAAGUUCAUGCUAGUAUUGCUUGAAUAGUAACAUCCUGGGAACAACUUCAGUGUUCAUCUACAUGGGAAAUGAUUUCUAAACUCUAGAAUAUCAAUACCACGGAACACUACUGGGAAUGCAGUAGAUCUGUUGGAACCAACAUUUCAGUGGGAAACAAACAAGUGUCUGAAACUUUUCAUACACAUAUUUAUAAAUAUCCCUUAUGAACAUCAAUGCAAAAAUCCUCAACAAAAUACUAGCUAACCAAAUUCAACAGCGUAUCAAAAAGAUAAUACACCGUGAUCAAGUGGGCUCCAUACCAGGGAUUCAGGGUUGGUUUAACAUACACAAGUCAGGCCGGGCACAGUGGCUUACACCUGUAAUCUAGCACAUUGGGAAGCCAUGGUGGUUGGAUCACUUAAGGCCAGGAGUUUGAGACCAGCCUGGCCAACAUGGCAAAACCCUGACUCUACUAAAAAAUACAAAUAAAUUAGUUGGGCAUGGUGACACACACCUGAAAUCCCUGCUACUUGUGAGGCUGAGGUAUGAAUAUCCUUUGAACCCGGGAGGUGGAGGUUGCAAUGAGCCAAGAUCAUGCCAUUAUACUCCAGACUGGGUGACAGAGCAAGACUCUGUCCCCAACCCCUGAAAAAUAUAUGAGUUAAUAAAUGUGAUACACCACAUAAACAGAAGUAAAAGCAAAAAUCAUGUGAUCAUCUCAAUAGACACAGAAAAAGCAUUUGAUACAAAUCCAGCAUUUCUUUAUUAUUAAGACCCUCAGCAAAAUUAGCAUGGAAGGGACAAAUCUUAAGGUAAUAGAAGCCAUCUAUGACAGACCCAUAGCCAACAUUAUACUGAACAGGGAAAAGUGGAAAGCAUUUCCUUUGAGAACUGGAGCAAUAUAAGGAUGCCCACUUUUACCACUUCUAUUCAGCUUAGUACUGGAAGUCCUAGCCAGAGCAAUGAGACAAGAGAAUGAAAUAAAGGGCAUCCCAAUUGGUAAAGAGGAAGUCAAACUGUUGCUGUUUGUUGAUGAUAUGAUCGUAUACCUAGAAAACCCUAAAGACUCAUCCAAAAAGCUCCUUUAUCUGAUAAAUGAAUUCAGUGAAGUUUCAGAAUACAAGAUCAAUGUACACAAAUCAGUAGCACUGCUAUACACCAACAGUGACUAAGCUGAGAAUCAAAUCAAGAACUCAACCCCUUUUACAACAGCUUAAAAAAAAAACUUAGGAAUAUACCUAAUCAAAGAGGUGAAAGAUCUCUGCAAUGCAAACUACAAAACACCCCUGAAAAAAAUCAUAGAUGACACAAACAAAUGGAAACGCAUCCCAUGCUCAUGCAUAGGUAGAAUAAAUAUUGUGAAAAUGACCAUACUUCCAAAAGCAAUCUAUAAAUUCAAUGCUCCAUCCAAAUUAUUUUCUCCAUCCAAAUACCAGCAUCAUUCUUCACAGAACUAGAGAAAACAAUCCUAAAGUUCAUAUGGAACAAAAAAAGAGCCUGCAUAGUCAAAGCAAGACUAAACAAAAACAACAAAUCUGGAAAUAUCACAUUACCCAACAUCAAACUAUACUAUAAGGCUAUAGUUACCAAAAAAGCAUGAUACUAGUAUAAAAACAGGUGCAUAGACCAAUGGAACAGAAUAAAACCCAGAAAUAAAGCCAAAUACAGCCAACUGAUCUUCAACAAAGUAAACAACAACAUAAAGUGGGGAAAGGACACCCUAACCAAUAAAUGGUGCUGAGAUAAUUGGCAAGCCGCAUGUAGAAGAAUGAAACUGGAUCCUCAUCUCUCACCUUACACAAAAAUCAACUCAAGAUGGAUCAAAGACUUAUAUCUAAGACCUGAAACCAUAAAAAUUCUGGAAGCUAACAGAAGAAUUCUUCCAGACAUUGGCCUAGGCAAAGGGUUCAUCACCAAAAACUUAAAAGCAAAUACAACAAAAACAAAUAUAAAUAGAUGAGACUUAAUUAAACUAAAAAACCUUCUGCACAGAAAAAGAAAUAAUCAGCAGAGUAAACAACCCACAGAGUGGAAGAAAAUAUUUGCAAACUAUGCAUCCAACAAAGGACUAAUAUGUAGAAUCUACCAGGAACUCAAACCAGCAAGAAAAAAACAAUUCCAUCAAAAAGAGGGCUAAGGACAUGAAUAGACAAUUCUCAAAAGAAGAUGUACAAAUGGCCAUCAAACAUGUGAGAAAAUGCUCAAUAUCACUAUCAGGGAAAUGCAAAUCAAAACCACAGAUACCACCUUCCUUCUGCAAGAAUGUCCAAAAUUUAAAAAUCAAAAAACAAUAGAUGUUGGUGUGGAUGUGGUGGAAAGGAAACACUUUUACACUGCCGGUGGAAAUGUAAACUAGUACAACCAUGAUGGAAAACCUUACGGAGGUUCCUUAAAGAACUAAAAGUAGAAUUACCGUUUGACCCAGCAAUCCCACUACUGGGUAUCUGCCUUCCCAAAAGAAGUCAUUAUAUGAAAAAGACACUUGCACACAUGUGUUUAUAGCAGCACAAUUCACAAUUGCAAAAAUAUGGAACCAGCCUAAAUGUCCAUCAACCAACGAGUGAGUAAAGGAAUUGUGGUGUAUAUAUAUAUAUACACACACACAACAUAAAAUACUACUCAGCCAUAAAAAAGUAACAAAAUAAUGGCAUUUGCAGCAACCUGGAUGCAGUUGGAGACCAUUAUUCUAAGUGAAGUAACUCAGGAAUGGAAAACCAAACACCAUAUGUUCUCACUUAUAAGUGGGAGCUAAGCUAUGAGGAUGCAAAGGCAUAAGAAAGAUACACUGAACUCUGGAGACUUGGGAAGGGGUGGGAGGGUGGUGAGGGAUAAAAGACUAUACAUUCAAUGCAGUGUACACUGCUUGGGUGAUGAGUGCACCAAAAUCUCAGAAAUCACCACUAAAGAAUGUAUCCAUCUAAGCAAACAGCCUGUUCCCCCAAAACUAUUGAAAUACUACUAAUAAAUAAAAAUUAUAUUUGUAUAUGUGUAUUUAUAGAAUGUAUAUAAAGACAAAGAACACAGGACUCUACAGCAAACAGGCAGGGGAGGAGGGCAGAGGAGCGAGGUGGAGUGGGGUGAGUGCAACUUUACCCUUGUUGGUCACAUUUCUACUCUUUUGUAAAGACACUGUAUUUGUGCAUUUUCUUCUGUAAAUAUAAAUUAAUGUUAGAAGAGUUCAGUGCAAUAAAAAACAAAAAACUGCAAGUUUAUGAAGAGCAGGGAUGUGUCUGUCUUGAACACCAUUUCACUGUAAGCACCUAUAGCACAUUAUAAAUGUUCAUGGACUGGAAGGGGAGAUCCCCAAAAUAUUAGCAGUCUUUUUAUCUCACUAGUGGGACAAUGUAUAAUUUAUUCGUUCCAAAUACUUUUCUCCAUUUUCCACUUUUCUAUAUGACAUUGAUAAUGGUAAAAAUAAAAUGAUGAACCAUGUUCUUAAGAAAUGUCUUCAUCCCCCAUUCUCUCUCACCCCGCCCCCUAGUGUCACCCAGAACCCAGGUGCAAGGCCCAGACUCACCAUCCCAUAUCAGCUGCAUAUCCUCAUCGUGGAUCUGGUGGAUGUUCACCCAUUUGACUGUGAAUCCUAAAGAUUCAUCUGCAGUCACGGGUGUUGCUUUCACACAGGGCCAGCCAAGAAAUUCUAGUAUAAAAAUGCCAGAAGUCACUACCAAGGAUCGAUAUACAUUUAGGAAAACCAGCACUACAGAUGAAAGGAAACGUUCAAGAAACACAACACCCAGCAUCCAGCCGGGCACAGUGGCUCACACCUAUUAUCCCAGCACUUUUGGAGGCAGAGGCACAGUAUUGCUUGAGCCCAGGAGUUCAAGACCAGACUGUGCAACAUGGUGAUCCCCAUCUCUACAAAAAAAUGCAAAAUUAGCCAGGCAUGGUGACAUGUGCCUGUAGUACCAGCUGGGAGGCUGAGGUGGGAGGAUCACGAGCCUGGGAGGUUAAGGCCGCCGUGAGUCAUGAUCCUGCCACUGCAGUCCAGCCUGGGUGACAGAUCCAGACCCUGUUUCAAGCAAGCAAAACCAAAAGAAAACCCACCAUCCAAGGAUGGAGUUAACAAUAAAAUCUGAACAAAACUUUAGAGAAAGUACUAUUGAAUCCCCAGAAACUUUUUCUUAAAAGAUAUUGAGUUCAGUUCCUAAAGUGCUUAGAAAUUCAAAAUUUGAAGUUAUAUAUAAAUCAAUAAAUAAAUCAAUACAGGCACUGGUCAGGCAAUAUCGCCACAGAAUAAUGAAAUAACUAUCAAGAUACCACAACAUCAUCCAGAAGAGAAAAAUAUAGAGUACCUUCUGCAUUAGAAAAACAAAAAGUUAAAUGAAAAUUCAAUAGGUGGGUUGAAUAGCAGAAUAACCACAACUAAAGGGUGAAUUCGUUAAAAGUGAAUCAGCCCAGAAAUUCUUCCAAAGUAGACAAAGAAAUGGGAAAUAUGGAAGAGAAAUUAAGAAACAUAGAGAAUAAAUCCAAGUAAAUUCCAAAAAUGGAACAGACAGAAGAGAAAAGAGGGCAUGUGAACCAAAAUAGUAGAAGAAAGUUUCACAGAUGAUGAGACCAGUAAGCUUUGCCUCAGUGCCCUGCCUCCCUCCACAUGACUGGGUGAAUGGCAAAGCAGCACCCAGCACCCACAUCUGAGGGGCCCUGUGGUGCAGCUCUUACCAUUUCCCCAGGUGGCCUCUGUGUAGGUGAUGGCCACUUAGUACUUCUCACUUGGACUAUAGCUCCUGACUUCCAAAUUCAGCAAUAUGGAAGAUAACAACCUUCUUACUCUAAACACCUUGAUAUACUAGAUAAAAUAUUAUAUAUAUGCAUAGCUGAGCUUGCAGGAGAGUAAGAGAAAUCUCUAGGGACCAAAAACAAAAAGUUUGCUGACACUCCACCUACUAGGGGUUGGAGGGCAUCACUGGUCCCAAUAACCCCCCAGGGCAUGGGUUGUAAUAUCUCCUGGGAUCCACAGCCUGCAAGCCACACAACCAGAAACGGAGGUGUAUGCACCGGGAUACAGAGAGAGCUCUGAGAGAAUCCCUCUAGGUAACACCCAAGGAGCCAGAAACACUUCACAAUGCUCAAAGGAAGUGAAGAAAUCCCUCGUUUCUUUUUCUCUCGGUCUCUCAAGCCUCAGCCUCCAAGCAGGCCCCAUGGGAACCUGCAGAAAACAAAACUGAGGGAGGGAAGCCCUCCUCUCCAUUUGCAGUCACUGUGGGCCCAAGAGGAUGAGGAAAAUUCCCAUUGCUUUAUUUCUUCUCUGCCGCUUGCCACUUAGCACCAGAUGUGGGGACAGUCACAGAAGUGCCUGGCACUGUGGAGCAACAAAAGCCCCAGCUUUCUGGCCACUGAAGAAGGGGAGCCCCAGGGAACUGUAAAGUACCAGGGAGGUGGCAGAGAGGAGGAAAGUGAUCCUAUAAAGGUGUUUAUGAACUCCCGAGCUCAUUACAUACCCAGGUCUGACCCUGACCAGCACGUCAUAGACAAUGAGAACUGAACUACAGGAUGGACUACUAUCCAGGUCCCAGGCUGGCUGGUGGCCCAAAUGCACAAUAGCAGAGGCUUCGAACCAAGAACUGGCAUUGGAAUCACAACCCGCGGACGGCUGACAGGAUUGGCAGCCUGAAGGUAAAUAGGUCAAUUGCCUGCUAAAAUUACCAGGACACUCUUGGAAGACCCACAGUCACAUAAUAUCAUAUUCAUAAUGUCUAUGAUUCAAUCCAUAAUCACUCAGCAUGCAAAGGACCAGGAACAUUUCAACUCACAUGGGAAGAAAAUGAACAUGCCCUGAAGUCAAGGGGAAAGAGAUUGGAAUUAUGUAAUAAAAACUUUAAAGCGGUUACUGUGCAAAGUGUUCCAAAAAGCCACGGUGAACACUCUUGAAAUAACAGAAAUAGUCUCAGCAAAGAAAUAGAAGACAUACAGAAAAACCGUGGAAAGCUUUAGAACUGAAAAAUAUAAGCUUGGGUAGGCUCCAUAGUAAAAUGGAGAUGCCAAAGGAAAGAAUCAGUGAACUUGAAAACAGAUCAAUAAAAAUUAUCCACUCUGAACAGAGAGAAAAAUGAUUCAAAACCAAAAGUAUCUUGUGACCUGAGACCAUAACAAAAGGUGUAACAUUUGUGUCGUGAGAGUCCUAAAAGAAGAGAAAGAGCAUGGUGGGGCUGAACAACAAUUCUAGAAAUAAUAGUAAAAACUUUCCAAGUUUGGUGAAAGGUAUCAAUUUAGAGAUUAAAGUUGCUCAGUGAACCUCAAACAGACUAAAACCAAGGAAAUGUAUGCCUAGAAACAUCACAGACUGCUGAAAGCAGAGACAAAUAUAAGGCCAAAUAAAGACAUUUUCAAAGACUAAAAAUGUUUACUACUAAGAGACCCUCACUGAAGGAACCACAAAGGAAGGAAAAACAAAAUAAAUCUAAAAGGGAGGAAAGAGCUGGAAGAAAGAAAUAUAAGCCAAGAAAUUUGUAAGCAUAUGGGUAGAUCUAAACCAGUAUUAACUGUACAAAAUCAUGACAGUCAUGAAGAUGAUGACAUAAAGAGCAAAUUUACAGGUUAAAUACAAAGGUGGAGCUUUAGCCCAGUAUUUUAAUACUGGGCAACAUUAGUAUAUCAUGUGGGAGGCUGUGAUCAGAAUUCAAGCAUUCAAAGAUCCAUGGAUUGUAUCAUUUGGAGGAAGGAAAAAGAUAUUAUCUUCAGACUUAGUUAAGUCAAGUAUAGUACACAUGGUAAAUUUUAAACAUAACAGAAAGAUAGGUGAGUCUGACAUUGGCCUUGCCACCAGCAGGUGUCCAAAGUCAUAGAGGAGAUGAGACCAAUACAAAAAUAGUUGAAAUCCAAGGCUCACAAGUUGAGAGAGUUAUAGAUGCCAGAGCUGGAGUCCCAUAAACCUGUGUCUCAGGGAUGUCAGGUCCUUCCCAGCUCUAAACUUGUGUCACCUGCAAGGAAGAUGAGAUGUGAGAAGGAGUGGGACAGGUCUGGUCAGUUCAACUUUCUGAGUCUUACGUUUCUCUUGCCAUGAGGACCCUGGGAUCCUAAGGCUUCUGUAUGAUUUGGGAGGGGGGUAGAGCCACUUGUUCUCUCCCCGCUUCACUCCAUGAGUGGAGUCUGCAGAAUAAGAUCCUUCGAGUCAGAACCAUCUUCAUAUCAGUCAGUUGGUUUCUUAUUUGGGUACCAGUGGCUCCUCCAGAAAAUUCUGGUGAGUCAGUGGAGGAGUGUGUGCUCCAUUGCAUGGAGUAAGUAAUGCAUUUGGGACAUGUCCUAUGCUCAGCUUCAAGUAGCCAAGUCUCCUUUCUUCUGUCCCUUGGUGACCUAGGCCUCGCACCACGGUGCCUUGCCCUAACCCAGUAUCCUAAGCUAAGCCCAUAUUGUGUCCAACUGAUCCUAGGGACCUGGGCACAUACAUCAUUAAUCAGUGGAUGCAGCUGCCUGGCAAUACUGCAGAAGAGUGGCUUGGUGUCCCUGCCCUGCAUAUGGCAGAGGAUGUUAUGCAGGUUCUUCACUGCCUGCAGUGCCUCUCACACUCAGUCUCCAAAUUCCCACUCAUUCUUCAAAAUGCAGUGCAGACAUCCCUUUCUCAAGAAGCCUCCCUUGUCCCUUGCCUCACCUCUAACCCAAGCCCCUCCCCACUGACCUCCUGUACCCGUGCAUACAUCCCCCUUCUCCCUACCACAUGUCAUUCCAAAUCUCAGCUGUAUCCUCUCCUUCUACACACUAGCUUUCUGGGAAUAGUGAGGAAUUCCAGUCAUGGUUGCAUCUCUCACAGCCGUCACAAACCCCAACACAUGUCAAUGCUUAAAUUGGUGUUGUUCACCCCUGCACUGACCUCUUUACAGUGCUUAAGACAUUCUUUUCGUGAGGAGAAAACUACACGUCCUUGGGCACACCUGCCAUGACAUCUUCUGAUUUUUAUAGGGACUUGUGUACAGGGUGGCUCAGCACAUUCAGUCUUCCAAUUGCCAUGCUCUAUUGUCUACCUCUAGAGCUAAACUUUUUCGUUUCAGACCCUCUGCAUAAUCUCCUUUUUAUUUUUGAGACAGGGUCUCACUCUGUCCCCCAGGCUGCAGUGCAGUGGCGCAAUCAUGGCUCACUGCAGCAUAGACCUCCCUGGCUCAAGUGAUCCUCCCACCUCAGCCUCCCAAAGUGCUAUGAUUACAGGCGUGAGCCACCACACCAGGCCCAUAAGUGGUGCUGUCCAGUGAGAAGAAUUAGGAGAAUGAAGAAUCCAUAGAGCACUCCCACCCACUGCUGCCCUUGUUCUCUGAUCAAACUAAUGCUUCCAUCUCAGGCAUCUGUACCCUGGCAGGUGAUAUGUUUCUCCACUGCCACCUGGAAGCUCCUUGGAGGCAGUUUGUAGAGAUGUGAUUUAACCCACAGCUUCCUGAUGACCCUUUGUGGGUUGUUCUACCUCACAGUCAUUAGGACCAAGGUACAAAUCUCCUCCAGUUCUCCUUGUGGCUUUUGGAAAGAGAAGGUUCCAAGGCUCAUCCCCAAGAAAAGUCCCCAGGCAUCUGCGAAUGAGCUUUGGUCAUUAAGUGAUUCUCUCCUAUCAGGAGGGCAGGGACUCACUUACCUCAACCUCCCACCCCGUCCAACAUACACCUUCCCAGUGAUGGAGGGAAAGAGCUCUCUAGAGGGUGCAAGAGGACAAGAGGAGAAGAGGAAGGGACCUGUUCUUAGUCUGUGAAGUCUCUGGCUUAUAUGUCAGGGUGAGGGUGGGGACCAGUUUCUGGAGCACAGAGCUUCUUCUGAAGCUGUGAGUAAACCAUCAGGAAGGUGGGAAGAAGUUGUGGAAGCAACUUUGGAAAUUCCCUGGUACCUCAGAGGUCUAGGUCAGAAGACAUGCGUGCCAAGGGAAGGCAAGGAAACCUACUCAUAGGUAGUAGGUAGCCAAGAAAAUAAAAUAGCAGAUUAAGCCAGUGUCAGGAAGGUAAGUACCCAAGUGUGUGGAUGGACAGGCAGGUAGAUGACAUGAAUACUUGGUCUAAAGGUGUGCAGGGCUGGGCGCUGUGGCUCAUACCUGUAAUCAGAACACUUUGGGAGGCAGAUCACUUGAGGUCAGGGGUUUGAGACAAGCCUGACCAACAUGGUGAAACCCUGUCUCCACUAAAAAUACAAAAAUUAGCCAGGUGUGGUGGCAGGUGCCUAUAAUCCCAGCUACUCAGGAGGCUGAGCCAGGAGAAUUGCUUGAACACUUUGGAAACAAUGUCACAAGCUGCGGAUAUAGUCCACGGUAGAACUGAAACGAUGACCUUAUUUCCUAGCACUGUGCCUUCAUCAACGGGCUUCUUAGCUCUUGGUCUCUAGAGAGAACCCCUCACAUACACACAUCAUGUUGUCUAUGCAUCAGCUAAGCACAGUACAGCUGGGGCCCCUUGCACACAGAGACCAAGAUGUGGAAGGACGGAAGCCAGGCCAGGCAGGGCCAGGGAAGCCACUGCCUCUCAUCUCCACUUUGCGCUUCCUGGCAGGAGCAGGAGAAGGUGAGGAUCUCAGCCACCUCUGCUGUGGGCCACAUGCUGCAGCAACUAAAAACAUGUAAGCCUGGAGGCAUCACCCCCCAAAAUUUUUUCACACUUCUGAUAUCAUUGGUGCUCAGCAUUCAGGAAAAUAACAUGGAAGUGCUCCAGGUACACUGGCUGUCACUUGUCUGGCCACUGCCAGGCCUGAUAUGUGUCCCCUUUCCUUGAGAGCAGGGCCCCUUCCCUGUGGCCAUUUCCAUGAGCCCAGCCUUGCCUGUAGGCUCUACAUUCACCUCUUUGACAUUGUCCUCUGGGUGGCUCUGAACAUAUCUGCCCUCUCUUUAUGACGGAAGGGCUUCCACUCAGCCCCUUGGCUGGAGAGUCACAGGAGUGAGGUUGAGGCCUCCCUUCUCUCCAUCCCAUAGGCCUGGGGAAAGGCUCUGGCGGUGUGGGCUGACAUGAUUGGCUGGUCCUCACUCAUCCAGCCAUUGCUGCGUGCCACGCUCAGCGACCACAUGCAUGUAGGUCCUGGAGGAAAUCUGCAAGUACCUGGUGAGUGAGGGUCUCAGGAGAGGCUGCACACAGUCCUCAUGCUGAGCCCUCAGUAGCGGGUUCCGUGGGCACAGAGGGGUGGGCUGCCAGAGAGAGGUUCCUGUGCUCCUUGUUUCUCACUCCUUCACAUGAGCCCACUCUGAGAACCCACAGCUGGGGUGCCAGUCCCUGGUUCUCUGUAUUUGACUCUCUGGGCAUCCAGAUCACUGCCUCAAAGGCUGGGGAGGUCAUGCCAGGUCCCUGGAUGGCAACUGGCCAGAGGUCUUCUGGUUGGAGUGGCAGGGAGAGAAGAGGGCAGGAGCAUCAGGCCUCUGGUCAGUUGGCAUGGGGUGAAGGGUCUGUGGCUCCUGCAAAUUCAAGAACAAGCCAGGGCUCAGGAAUCCCUGUUGAAAAGCAAACAUUUAAGGGCUAAGAAAGUAGGUUAAGAGCUCAGAUGAGUCAUUCUAAGGAUUUAUAGCAUAAAUCCUUCACAUAGGGGGAGCAUUUUACAAAGCACUUUUCCAUUUAUUACCCACGGGCACUUGUCAUGGUGUGUGGGAGGUUGGGCGGGAUUGCCUUCCACUCUACUCUCAAGAAAGUGAAGCCAGUGGGUGCCAGGUCCAACUUUCAAACCCAAGGCUCCCAGCCCCAUGGAGUUGUUUUCUCUCACAUCCUGUGGGUUCCCAGAAGCAGUAAACUUCCUGCUGCAGAGGGGUGGGGGUCUGAGUCUGCAGGGUCCAGCAGUCAGAGCUGCCUGAAGAUGCACUGCUGCUGCUGGGGACAGUGGGGAGGCCGUGGCUGCCAGGAGGCCUUCUGCAGGACUCCCAGUGGCUCCUCUCCUGGUCAGCACCGCCCAUGGCUGUAGAAGGAGAGGUUGCCAGGAAGAGGGUCUCUGCAGAGGGAGUCUAGAAAGUGCAAACAUUCCUCCCACAUAAGAAACUUUUCAUCUUCCUUGAAGCAGAGGGCAAGGUCGCUGGGAGCUGGGGCUGGCGAGGGGCGAGUCAGUAGGAAAGAAAGCUUCAGGAGACCGGCGAGGGUCUGUCAUAGCCAUUGGGGGAGUAGGACAUAAAGCUGGCCAGAGACCACAGGACUUACGGGCAGCACCAAGGACGAAGCAGAGGCCAGGAGCUCAUACCCGUCUAGAUCCAUGAGGCCAUGUGGUCUCAGCAGCGCUCAGCCGCCCCACACAGGACAGAGAAGGUGGCAGCUGGACUGAGUCAAGGGGAGUCCUCCUGUGAUUGUCCCCAGGGGCAGACGGUGAGGUCAAGGGGAUGAGGGAUUGCUGAAGUAACUGAUGGGAUGGGCCAUGGAGAAGCAAGUGAAGAGGCUGAGGGGACUCAGGGAGGGUCCUAGGAGGAAAUAGAAAGCCUAAGUCCUUGAUGUGGCACAGGGCCACUGGGUAACAAGGCGGAGAACAGCAAGCACAAGAAAUUGUCAAGGAGGAGACACCAGCCUGCGGCUUCAAGAGGUGGUGUAUUACUCAUUGCUAAGGAGGAAGAGGGUAAUUGGACUGGGAUGCUGGAGAUGGAGCCCUGGGCUCUAGCCAGCAUAGGGCUGCCAGACGUAGCCACCAGCUCUGAAUUCUCAACUCCGAUUCUGGGAUAAUAUCCUGACUUUGCUGAGCACAGAUCUUUUUUUUUAUUAUCAUUUUUCAAUAGAGACAAGAUCUCCCUCUGUCACCCAGGCUGGAAUACAGUAGAGGGAUCAUAGUUCACUGUAACCUCAAACUCCCAGGCUCCAGCAAUCCUCCUGCCUCAGUCUCCUGAGUAGCUAGGGCUGCACAUGCAUGCCACCAUGCCCAGCUAACUUUUUAAGUUUUUAGUAGAAAUGGAGUCUCUCUAUGUUGCCCAGGCUGGUCUCAAACUCCUGGCCUCCAGCGAUCUGCCUGCCUCAGCUUCCCAAAGUUCUGAGAUUGCAGGCUUGAGUCACUGUGCCAGAACUAUGCAUACCUUUGACUUAAUAGCAACCUUGACCUGGAGCUCAUCCUUUAAAAAUCAAAUUUUAAAAAAAUAUGAUUUCAAAACCACACAUAGUAAAGAAUUUGGAGAAUACAGAACACCAACACAGAAAAGAUUAAUACAGAAAAUCAAUACAGAAGAGAAGUUAGAAAUCUCCUGCAAACCUACCACUGGGAUUUAGACAUGAUUAAUUUGGGGUUAGCUCUUUCCAGUUUGCCUUUUUUUUUCUUUUUCUUUUCUUUAUUUUUUUAAUUUUUUUUUAUUUUUUGCCUAUUCAGGAGCAUUUUAGUAAUGUAUCCUCCAACUUACUGGGGCUUGGAGCUCUGUGACUCAGUUUUCCUGGUUAGAAGAUAUGAUGGCCACAUGCCAACAAAUUUCUGGAACAGCUUUCAUGUGGUUUCCUCAUACCUGCAGCCAGGAGGGCUGCAUAUCUCUCCAUCCUAGGCAGUGAGGAUCAGAGAGCCGGGUGAUGGGUGCAGAGCCAUGCAGCAGGCCCAUGGGCUCCAGGGUUCCUCACCUUAACCCAAGUGGGUGCCAGAGAAAAAUCUCACCUCGAGAGGAGGCACAGACACCAGGCUGCCAGGGCCGUGCACCACAGGUCAGAUCCAUCCAGAAUCUCCCACGAGCUGUUCUCAUGCCUCUGUGACACAAAGUCAGAAAAGCAGUCAGUCCCAGAAGAGAGUUUACAACUUGCUUUUUGAGCCAAUCAGACCUUUGAACAAAAUGUCCUCUUUUCCACAGUGUAUCUGUCCUAUUCACCUUCAGUUUGGAGAGCUGUUCUGACCUUUCUUAACGAAAUGAGUGUCUCCCCUUCUUCGGCGAAUAAUAAAUUCAGUGUCUGCUUUAGACAGCUUUGGUGACCUUUGUGUUCUUCUGUGGCAUGAACCUCGCUUUAGUCAUCGCUGUGGCCAGUGGAUAGCCACUCUCUUCUGAGGGCUGUCACAGAAUUCCUCCUUCUGAGAGGUUUAUUGGUGAUGGGGUAGGGGGUGGUCAGGGGUCCCAAGCCUCCCGGGCGAAGGCCAAGCCCUGCUUUCUUUACCAAGUUGCUCAGAGGUCUCCACUUGCAAAUCAUUAGCCUCAUUGGGUUGGCACUCGUCCACUUGCAUUUCUAGCUGGGACAUUCUCUUCUAUGAAAAUAGUUUGUGGAUAUGACGAGUGGGCAGAGGAGUUUGUUUCUGUUAAGGAGUUGCUGAUGGUAGGGCAAUGAUUCCAACUUCCAUUGUUCAGCCAGAUUCCUUCAUUCCCCAAACUGCUCUGGAUUUAGCCUAAUCUUGGAAGUCAGAGUCCUGUUUGACUAACGAGAAAAAUCAGAACUUCUGGGUAAAGUUACCAGACAUUCACUAUUGGGAGGAAAUAGCUCCAGACUUGGGCUUGCCACUGUCCUUCCUUGCCCCCUCUUGGAUGGAAUAGUUGGGAACUCUUCCCCUCCCUACCUCCCCAGUCUUCCCCAGGGUGAGAAGAGCUUUUUUAUUCCUAUUAGCCAUGAUUUCAAGCCAACAUUGAAAACGUUUUGAUUUCCUGGAUCGUGGGGGAAGCUUCUGUCUGGGCAUCCCAGCCUCACAUACUGAGUGCCUCUUCGAGCCCUGUGUGGUGAAUCAAGUGUGCCCUCCUGAAAGCCUCCUUGACUCCAGGUGCAGUCAGUGUAUUUUCUCCUACACUAUUGGAAUCAGGGCUUCUUGAAUCAAACCUGCAAAUUUAUGCAAACACUAUGCUAACAUUUUUGACAAAAACUGGCAAAGGAAGGCCUUUUGCAGGUGAAGUGCAGCUAACACCUAAUGGCUAGCAGAGGGCUGUUUGGGGUGGGGACUCAGGUGAGAGUUGAAGCAGAGGAGUGGGAGGAAGGAGGGUUGGUUGGUGUCUGCAGCAGUGAUGGAAGAUGCUGGGGCCUUCCUCCUCCCCUGCCUUCCAACAUGGGAGUAACCAGUGAAGGAGCAGACAGAGAGUCAGGGACUCCCUGUCUCUUUUUCACAGUUGAGACAUCUUCAGAGCUGGGGUGAGGACUGAAUCUCUUAGCCCCUCUUGAGAUGCUCCAGAUGCCGCAUCUAGUACAGAGUAUGAGGUUGAGAGGCCCCCAUGCCCUCCGGCCUUCCUAUGCUAUUACAUUCACAUCAUACUCUACCACAUCGUCAUUCACUUCACAUUAAAGCAUCUUAAUUGUCCCCUGGAAGGUUAAGCUGUGUGGUUCUUACUUUUCUAUGAUCUGUCUUUAUCAAAGAGCCGUUUACCCUUUAAAUCUUAACAUUGGAAGGUCCUUUAGUGAUCACCCUGUGCGAUCCCUCUGUUUUAUGCAUGAGGGGACUAAGACAUGAAGAAGUGGUUUACCCCAGUUCUCAGACCCAGACUCCAAACCAGUCAUAAUCCCGCUAGGUGACAUUACUUACUGGACAACAGGCCCCCGGCAAUCUAAGUGCCACUUGAGAUAUCAUGGGAGCAAAAACUACUUGUCUUCUUUUAAAGGCAAGCAUCUUUAAAAGAGGUACUUUGGGUCAAGAAUGAUUUUGUAAGUGCACACCCCUGUCACUUCCAGCGAGGGACCCUGGAAGGUAAACGAACAAUCCUAACAAUGCCCAGCACUCACACCAUGCCCUUCCUCUGAGGCGUGCUCUGAAGAACAAUCUUGCUUGUCCUUGGAAUCAUCCUUGUGAAGGUGUGGGAGGGAGGGACCAUUAUCCUCAUCUUUAGAGGAGAAUCCAGGCACUGAAAAUAGACAACAACCCGCACAGUGGUCAGGCUGGCAUUAGGCUCAAGGCCACAUGCGUGUUGGCCCUGGCCCAUUUCUUGUGAGCUGUGGAGAACCAGUUACCUCCUUAACCCAGGGCCACGGUGUAGCCAAGGGACAUCUGGAGGGUGACACUCUUUGCUUUUAGGUCUAGAAAGGGGAGAGGAAACAAGAGAGAAGAGGAAGCAGCAGAAAAAGGGAAGGGAGGAAAGUGGAGAUAAAGACAGGGCCUGGCAGGGGCAGGAUAGAUGCUAAUGCCUUGCCACUGCUCUUAAUGUCGGCAUGUGGAGAGCCUGGCUUGGCAGCUCGGUUACCAGCCUUUAGGGCUUUGAUGCCUUCCUGUCAUCACCCAGCAUUAUUGGAAAUUCACUAGGGUUUUAUAUUCAGAAGAAAACAGAGUCCCUCCCCUUCAUUUCUGAGCAGGAGUAGCUCCCACUGUCAGCCAGCCUUUUCCUCCCCUCAGAGCACAGUUUAUGACAGUUCAAGUUUUGUUCUCUGUUCUGUAAGCUGCUGUUGUGCAAGGGAGGAGAACAGGUACUCGUGGGUGUGCUAGAGCUGAAACGUGUUUAUCUGAAUCUGAACAGUGGGUGCUUUCACACACACACACACACACACACACACACACACACACAGAGAGAGAGAGAGAGAGAGAGAGAGAGAGAGAGAGAGAGAGAGUGGUAUUCAGCACCUUCCCUUAGGGCUGCAAGGCUCCUCAUCUCCCCUCCUGCAGCAGCAGAUCUGGGCUCCUGUUGAAGACAAGCCCUCACAGCACUUGGGCGGACAUCAUUUACCAGGCACAUCAAAGGUUGGGAAAGAUGUGACUAAUGAGUCUAGCUUGUGCAAGACUCAUCCUCUUACCUCCCUCUCACCAUCACAUUCCCAGUCCCACUAAAGCAUAGGAUUCUGGCUGAGUCUUUGGCUAAAAUGAGUAGUGGCAACUCCUCUUGUUUAGGCAUCCAAGCACACACCACCAGAUCCAGCAAGUGCACACCAACUCCACUUCAGCUAAUUUAUGACUUCAAAGGUGGUCUAGAAAGGAGACCUUUACAACAGAAAAGCUUCCUGGACUGCAGGCAGAGUUGUGCCAAUGCAUUCAGGCCAUAAUUCUGAUUGCUCCCCAUAAGCCAGGAAACUCACUACUCACUAUGCCCACCUUGCUGUUUGCCAUCACAGAAAUGCACUUGAGUUGCUCACCUGCAUUGCUACAGUUAAACCACAGGCUGCAGGUGCAGCACUCUUUCCAGGGUGUGCAGGGGAAAUGGCAUUUGUUAUUUGAGUAAUGUGUCUCUCUCCAUCCCCAGAGUCGGUAAACAAACAAGUUAUCCAUGGAGCAAGCUCUUCCCUUUUGGCAUCUUUCAGUUUUUGAGUGGCAGCUCUGCAAUGAGGCCACUGGCCAUCCCUCAGCUGUGUAGAGAACAGGCAUUCUUGGCCCUUGGAGUCCUGCUGUAGCAUUUUCAGGAUGCCAAGUUAUUGGUGGGGACAGGUGCCCAAAAUUCAGCAUAACACACCUAAGCCUUAUUUCCCUUUUUCUGGACACUUCUUGAUUUAGGAAUAAAAGCCCCUUCCUCCUCCUGGGCUGGGCUGGCCUGUAAACAUCUCAGUCUGAGUUUGCUGAGUGUUGCAUUCAGGCCAUAAUUCUGAUUGCUCCCCAUAAGCCAGGAAACUCACUACUCACUAUGCCCACCUUGCUGUUUGCCAUCACAGAAAUGCACUUGAGUUGCUCACCUGCAUUGCUACAGUUAAACCACAGGCUGCAGGUGCAGCACUCUUUCCAGGGUGUGCAGGGGAAAUGGCAUUUGUUAUUUGAGUAAUGUGUCUUUCUCCAUCCCCAGAGUCGGUAAACAAACAAGUUAUCCGUGGAGCAAGUUAUCAGUCUGAGUGUUGCUAUAUUCAGUUGCUAGUUUCCAUUCCAUAUGAUGAUGUGUGACAGGACAGCUCACCCUGUGAGUUAGCAAGGGGUUUUAAGUAAUAUGCUUUCUGAUGGAAAGGACGACAAAGAUUCCUAUUAUUCACCAGUGAGCCUGGAGACUGAGCUGGUCCAGUUUUGAUGACUGAGCCACAGCAAUGUCAAUCUCAUGUGCUCUGUCACUACUUCCCACUGUGGCUUGACGAAAACAGCCUCAAGGGCCCUGCAGAAGCGCUCCAGCCACGCAGUCAGGAGACUUGCCAACUCAGUCUGUCCAAGGCCUCUGUGACAUUGGAACAAAAAUAGGUCUGUGUGCUAGCCUCAGCUUCUGCAUCUGCAAAGAGAAGUGGUUAACAAAAAUUAGGGGUAGCAAGUAAUGCUUGCAGCUUUCAGUUAUAGACAUGCACAGAUAUUGCUGUUGGUGAAAGCAUCCACAGAACACCAGGCAACACGCCACUGAAAGAGAGCGGCAUUUUUUUUGCUCCUAUUCUUCGAAAUGCCAGUGGAGAUAAACUGAUGCUGCUAUUUGUGUUUUCCUGGACUAUUUCCUUGUGAAGCCUUCCAGUCAUUAAAUGCUCACUCCAUCUUCUUUCAAAAGUGACUCAGCGUGCGGCUGAGAAGCAGCAGCAGCAGGAUCACCUGGGAGUUUGUGAGAAUGCGGAACCUCAGGCUCCCCGGCUUUCCUGCUGAAUCGGAACGCGCUGUUUCACACUCUCCCAGGUGAUUCGCAUGUGUUUAACUUUAGAAGCACCCGUCUGAAGUUGUGUUUGUCAAACCUAAGUGAACAUCAAAUCCCUGCAAGGCUCGUUAAAACCUUGCUGGGCCCCACACCCAAGUUUCUGAUUCAAUAAGUCUGGGUCAGGGUCUGUGAAUUUGCAUUAUAACAUUUCUAACUUUCCUGGCGAUGACACCACCUGUCCAGGACCAUACUUUGGGAACCUCUGGUAAGUCUUCCUUGAGCAGGUGUUUUGUGACACCUUAAUUCCCAGGUCACCGAGAAUCUAGAGCAUCUCUAUAAUAUGUAUGCUGGCUUCUUCAAUCUCCAGAAUUACUGUGUUCUCUUAAUCAUCUUUGAUCUCUUUCUUGAUUUCAGUAUGUUUCUCUCUCUUUGUCAUUAGGAAGCCCUAGUCUCAGAAAGCCAGUUAGUUCUGUGCUGUGCAAAAAUGGGAGGAUUUCAUGAAAAUCCUACUUUUCUCUCCCAUGUGGUUGUUCUAAAAUUCUACCUGUUUCUUCAUCUGGAGUUACACCGCUGGUCCCUGAGGGGCUUGUUACACUCCUCCUCAGAGCUAGUGAACAUUGGCGGCUGGUGUGUAAUCUUCUGUGCCUGUUAUAUGUGUGUACAUACCUUGGCAUUUACAUGUAGAAAUAUGUUUUGGAUUUCUUAGGCCGGGCACGGUGGCUCACGCCUGUAAUCCCAGCACUUUGGGAGGCCGAGGCGGGCAGAUCACGAGGUCAGGAGAUCGAGGCCAUCCUGGCUAACACAGUGAAACCCCGUCUCUACUAAAAAUACAAAAAAUUAGCCAGGCAUGGUGGUGGGCGCCUGUAGUCCCAGCUACUCAGGAGACUGAGGCAGGAGAAUGGCAUGAACCUGGGAGGCGGAGCUUGCAGUGAGCCGAGAUUGUGCCACUGUACUCCAGCCUGGGCGACAGAGUCUCUCAAAAAAAA